UGACCUCAGUUUAGAUGAGACUACCCGCUGAACUUAAGCAUAUCAGUAAGCGGAGGAAAAGAAACUAACAAGGAUUCCCUUAGUAGCGGCGAGCGAACAGGGAUGAGCCCAGCACCGAACCUCGCGCCCGGUUGAGCGGGUGCCGAGGAAUGUGGUGUUCGGGAGGAUCGUGCGCGUCUGUCCGGUAUCUAUCGUCCAAGUCUCCAUGAACGGGGCGAGCAACCCACAGAGGGUGUCAGGCCCGUAGAUAAGACGAGCCGAGACCGUGCAUCGGAUCCCUUCCCAAGAGUCGGGUUGCUUGAGCGUGCAGCCCUAAGCGGGAGGUAAACUCCUUCUAAGGCUAAAUAUCGCCACGAGACCGAUAGCGAACAAGUACCGCGAGGGAAAGUUGAAAAGAACUUUGAAGAGAGAGUUCAAGAGUGCGUGAAACCGUUCAGGGGGUUAAACGGGUGGGCCCUCGAAGGUCGAACAAGUCCCCGCUCCCGGCACUUGGUUGUAUGCCCUUAACGCUGCAUGGAGACUGCCUUAAUUGGUGGCUCUCUAGCAUAAGUCGUUCUGCGAUCGCAAUAGCCACGCCAAGGUCCGCAAGUGGGGGGCCUAGUAGGACUCCGCGACCGACUGGGUGUCUGUUACACGGGGCGUCCGUUAGCGAGUUUCGUGGUUACCUUCGCGGGUGCCGCGAUGACGAGCGCGGCGUUUCCCAACAGUACUGCCCGGUCGUGACCUGUCU
rnacentral:ncRNA from 1 species